rnacentral:rRNA from 1 species
GAUGAACGCUGGCGGCGUGCCUAAUACAUGCAAGUCGAGCGAAGCGGGGACGGGUGAGUAACACGUGGAUAACCUCCUAUAAGACUGGGAUAACUUCGGGAAAACGGAGCUAAACCGGAUCCUUAUAGAUGGAUCCGCGCUGCAUUAGCUAGUUGGUAAGGUAACGGCUUACCAAGGCCACGAUGCAUAGCCGACCUUAGAGGGGGACAGUCCACACUGGAACGGAGACACGGUCCAGACUCCUACGGGAGGCAGCAGUAGGGAAUCUUCCGCAAUGGGCGAAAGCCUGACGGAGCAGCGCCGAGGGAGUGAAGAAGGUUUUCGGAUCGUAAAACUCUGUGGAUAGAGAAGAGGUAUCUAACCAGAAAGCCACGGCUAACUACGUGCCAGCAGCCGCGGUAAUAC